CCUACGGGCGGCUGCAGUGGGGAAUAUUGGACAAUGGGCGAAAGCCUGAUCCAGCCAUGCCGCGUGUGUGAAGAAGGCCUUCGGGUUGUAAAGCACUUUCAGUGGGGAAGAAAGCCUUGGGGCUAAUACCCUCGAGGAAGGACAUCACCCACAGAAGAAGCACCGGCUAACUCCGUGCCAGCAGCCGCGGUAAUACGGAGGGUGCGAGCGUUAAUCGGAAUUACUGGGCGUAAAGCGCGCGUAGGCGGUCUGAUAAGCCGGUUGUGAAAGCCCCGGGCUCAACCUGGGAACGGCAUCCGGAACUGUCAGGCUAGAGUGCAGGAGAGGAAGGUAGAAUUCCCGGUGUAGCGGUGAAGUGCGUAGAGAUCGGGAGGAAUACCAGUGGCGAAGGCGGCCUUCUGGACUGACACUGACGCUGAGGUGCGAAAGCGUGGGUAGCAAACAGGAUUAGAUACCCGUGUAGUC
rnacentral:rRNA from 1 species